UACAGAGGUCCCAAGCGUUGUUCGGAUUCACUGGGCGUAAAGGGUGCGUAGGUGGGUUUGCAAGUUCGAUGUGAAAGCCCCGGGCUUAACCCGGGAAUGGCAUUGGAUACUGCAGAUCUGGAGGAUCGGAGGGGGGACUGGAAUUCUUGGUGUAGCAGUGAAAUGCGUAGAUAUCAAGAGGAACACCAGUGGCGAAGGCGAGUCCCUGGACGAUACCUGACACUGAGGCACGAAAGCGUGGGGAGCAAACAGG
rnacentral:rRNA from 1 species